UCUUCAAGAGACAGUAAUGUUUAUGACAGGUAAAAUUUCCAGAAUCCAAAGUUUACAAACAGAUCUGUGUCCUAGAAAGACCUGGAAGAACCCAGAACCCAUCUAGAGAACAGAACCCAUGCGAGUGCAAAGAUUCACUUUGUCCUACUGACCAGGCAGCAUCAUUUACAAUGAUGGGAGUCUUACUUAACGCCCUUUCUUACACCAUAUGUUGUGGGGUUCG
rnacentral:lncRNA from 1 species